rnacentral:rRNA from 1 species
AGAGUUUGAUCCUGGCUCAGAACGAACGCUGGUAGCGUGGAUUAGGCAUGCAAGUCGAACGGGAUCCGUGAAGUAGCAAUACCGAGCGGUGAGAGUGGCGGAUUGGGGAGGAACACGUGAACAACCUGUCCUUGAGUUGGGGAAAACCGGUGGAAACGCCGGCUAAUACCGGAUGUGGCGCCUGACGACAUCGUCGGAGCGCUAAAGGGGGCCGCAAGGCUCUCGCUCUUAGAGGGGCUCGCGCAUCAUCAGCUUGUUGGCGGGGUAACGGCCCACCAAGGCUUACGAUUAGCUGGUCUGAGAGGAUGACCAGCCCCACUGGGACUGAGAUACUGCCCAGACUCCUACGGGAGGCUGCAGUCGAGGAUCAUUUGCAAUGGGCGAAAGCCUGACAAUGCGACCGCUGCGUGGAGGAUGAAGGCCCCUCGGGUUGUAAACUCCUGUCAUAAGGGAAACAGGCGAAGGUACCUAAUACGUACCUGAGUUGAGUGUUACUUUAAAGAGGAAGCGACGGCUAACUCUGUGCCAGCAGCCGCGGUAAUACAGAGGUCGCAAGCGUUGUUCGGAUUUACUGGGCGUAAAGGGCGCGUAGGUGGCAGCGUGUGUCGGAUGUGAAAUCUCCGGGCUCAACCCGGAAAGUGCGUCCGAAACUGCACUGCUUGAGUACGGGAGAGGGAAUCGGAAUGCAGGGUGUAGCGGUGAAAUGCGUAGAUAUCAGGAGGAACACCGGUGGCGAAGGCGACUUUCUGGACUGUAACUGACACUGAGGUACGAAAGCGUGGGGAGCAAACAGGAUUAGAUACCCUGGUAGUCCACGCGGUAAACGAUGAGCACUAGAUGUUGGCAUAGCAAUAUGUCGGCGUCGAAGUUAACGCAUUAAGUGCUCCGCCUGGGGAGUACGCACGCAAGUGUGAAACUCAAAGGAAUUGACGGGGACCCGCACAAGCAGCGGAGCAUGUGGUUUAAUUCGAAGCAACGCGAAGAACCUUACCAGGGCUUGACAUCCUCUUGAAAGGCCGAGUAAAAUUGGCCCCUCUUCGGACAAGAGAGACAGGUGGUGCAUGGUUGUCGUCAGCUCGUGUCGUGAGAUGUUGGGUUAAGUCCCGCAACGAGCGCAACCCUUGUCUUUAGUUGCCAUCAGGUUAUGCUGGGCACUCUAGAGAGACUGCCGGGGACAACUCGGAGGAAGGUGGGGAUGACGUCAAAUCAUCAUGCCCCUUAUGUUCUGGGCUACACACGUGCUACAAUGGCCGGUACAGAGAGACGCAAGGUCGUGAGACGGAGCCAAACUCUAAAGCCGGUCCCAGUUCGGAUGGUAGGCUGCAACUCGCCUACAUGAAGUCGGAGUUGCUAGUAAUCGCGGAUCCGCACGCCGCGGGGAAUGCGAUGCCGGGUCUUGCACUCACCGCCCGUCAAG